rnacentral:lncRNA from 1 species
AGAAGAAUGUUGUGAGGCUUAAUAUCAAGGUGCAGAAUCCUCAUGUGACAACCUCGGUGUAGAUAUUCAAUCCCAUGAGCUAUAGCUAAAGCAAUCUCAUACAUUCUGCUCCAACUUAAAGUGCAGACGUCCUCCUGAGAGAACAGGUACUUAUCGAGAGAGCCGUUGGGCAUGUAUUCAUAAAUGAGAACCUUUUUAGAUCCUUCAAAGCAGAAUCCAAGAAGUUGUACCACGUUGACAUGACGUAUCGUCCCAAUUGUUCUCAAUUCAUUGAUGAAAUCUCCCCCAUCGCCCUUGGCCUCAGCCAGCAUCUUUACUGCAACUAGACAACCAUUUGAUAGCUUUCCCUUGAAUACAGAGCCAAAGCCGCCUUGACCCAGUUGUUCGUUGAAGCCUCCAGUCAUCCUCUUGAUGUCAGAGUAAGAAAAUUUUCUGAGUUUGAGGUUCUCAUAGUUUCGCAAGAACUCUUCAACAUAUUCAUCAAUUGAUGCUCUUUUCCACCAUUUAUAAAUUAGAUAGAGAGACAUGCAUAGGAUUCCAACGGCAGCUCUUAUCAAAGUGUAAUACCCUUCAAUAUGGUAAAAAACAAAUGCAAAUGCCAGUUCAGAAACAGUUAAGACUGAAAAGAAAUACUACUAUACAUGAUAUCUGCCAAAUACUGUUUAUCAUUGGUAUUUAUCAAGAUUAAUUAAAGCCUUCUUUCCCAGAGGAGUUUAGAAAUUUCGUGCAAUUUCCUCCUUUUACCUCCUUAACUGUGCAAGAGGGUAAUAGGUUCUUUCACUUUCUAGAAAACAGAUUGGUUAGCUACAUAAAAUGUCAUGAUCUAGCCUGAAAUAUGUUACAUGAAAAACUCACCAACAAUUUUCAGUACGAGUCCUAUGCAGCCUGUAAGACAGAGAAGGGGCGAAGGCAUGUGAGGACAGGUUAGAGUCAUGCUAAGAAAUAAGUGAUAAUGUUAAAUUUCAAUGGAAACACAGGAUUCAUUCAUUUGUUCAAAUUUUGAGUCUACGUUAUGUUAAAACGCAGACCAGCAUGAUUUCAAUCAUGUUUAUGCAGAUUUACAUAGUUGAUGAAUAUUAGUAAUGUUAUUUGGAGGCUUACCCUGUAUUGCGAUCCAUAAAUAAUGUACAAAACCUGCAACAGCAACAGAUAAAUCAUUAUUUCAUAUCUAAAAAUGAGAAAAAGUGAAGUUGAAAGAAUGAUCAAACAAAAGGAGCAUGGGAAGAAAAUUUGGUAUCUAACUCAAUUGACUCCUUGGCGGAUGUUUAUCGUACUAUUUCAAUGUUUUAUUUAAGGAUUCUUACUCACAAUUAACACUCGUCAAUGGUCCUCUGCAGUAGAUGCGCUUGGAGUCACCAAUACCAUCUGAGAAUGGACAAUAUCCUCCAUUUGAUUCACAAAUUGAACUAAAACUACUAUUACUCCAUGAAAGCUCAUAUCCUAUGGUCAAUUUCUUGUGGAUAUCAGCAUAUGUGAGAUUCCCAGGUGUUUGAAUCACCGCCGGAGUCAUCAAGAAAUAGUCACAAGAGUUGGAGAGCGAUGCUGCUUGCAGAUUUCCAAGAAAAACAUACAGAUGGUGAGCUUGCGGUAGGGAGGAAUUGGUUAUGCAAGGAGAUGCGUCCAGAUAUUCCGAAGAAUUCACCGUGGUUGAACAAUUAAGAUAAAUCAUGGCAUCCUCUGUUUCUAAGGACAACCCAUAUGGCAGAUGGUAGUAGGAGUCGUUACAGUACUCAGAGAAACCACUAAGGUUGUUUGCUGUCCAGGCAUAACGGGGAAGGGAGGAGCAGUCAUUUGUCUUUAGACCAGGAUCGACGGCAUGAAGGGUCUCAUUAUCGUAUGAGAUGGAUUCGACAUAAAAUCUACCGUAACCUAUUGUUAACACGGGACGCUCAUGCUCACAAGCAAGUUCAUAAGAGGAAUCUCCGCAAUUUGUAGGAUCAUUUCUUAAUCGAAAUGGAUAUUGUAUUGAUAAAUUUCCGCAAAGAGAAGAACAAGAUGAUUGUUUCCUAGAAUUGCAGAUUGGAAGGAAGAACAAGGCUACAAUUAGGAGGUUAAGAACUGGCAUGGCGAGAAGUCUAGCAAAGCGAGUCCUGAACCUACCUUUAAUAGUUUGUACAUGCAGGAAUCAGGAUCUUCUUUAUUUAUUUAUUAUUUUAUCGAACACUAAUCAGUAAUCCCUUUCUUUCACCUCUUUUUUGGCCAAUUAUAACAUUACGUAAUUGACUUGGUGUUGUGUGUCAAUGAAGGUGUUUCAGUGAAGAUUCAUAUGAAUUGAGAUGAAUCCUCCUGGAAAGGGCGAGGUGUACAUGCAGGAAUCAGGAUCUCCUUUAUUUAUUUAUUAUUUUAUCGAACACUAAUCAGUAAUCACUUUUUUCACCUCUUUUUUGGCCAAUUGUAGCAUUAUGUAAUUGACUUGGUGUUGUGUGUCAAUGAAGAUUUAUAUGAAUUGAGAUGAAUCCUCCUGGAAACGGCGAGGUGCCGGUCAAUCCACGCUCAUCGUGCGAUUUUUCCUUUUUGGUGAAAGGGUCUGCAGUUUGCUAUUCAUUACGUCAAAAUCAGAGAAACGUUUUUCUCACGGGGAGGUCUUUGAGCUGUUAGAUAGUACUAAUAUAGUCUAAGCUUGAAGAGUUUCUAUGCUUGCUUUGUAUUCAGCAUCUCUGCCCUAUACAAAAUGACUUUACAAAGUGUUAUAGCCUUUCAUUUAAUUAUCUUUCUCUUAUAUUUAUGCCAUGGAGAAGCUGAAUUAUGUCCACAUGUAGCUUGCAGGGAAGGAGGUCCUUCCGUCGGUUUUCCCUUUUGGCUUAAAGAUCGACAGCCAGAGAGUUGUGGUUACCCAGGGUUUGAAUUAUCCUGCUCUGAGAGGAACGAAACACUGAUUGAAGUUCCAUAUUCAGGGCAGUUUUUCGUGGCUGGAAUAGAUUACGAGAGGCAGAAUAUUUACGUCGGAGACCCCCAGGGUUGCAUGCUUAGAAGGCUUAAAAACUUGACCGUCACUGGUAGUCCUUUCAUGAUUUACGGGCCCUACUAUUACACACUGCUCGACUGCUCACCAGGAAUUGAAAGGUCAGACUCAGAAACAGUACUGAUAGAUUGUCUCAGCAGUUCUAAUCAUCUUGUUUAUGCUGCCCCUGCUUCAACUGUCAUGAGUCUAGAUCUUCUAUUUUCUUGCCACUUGAUUGCAAAUGUUACCUUAUCUUAUAUGGAUUGUUACGACCAAUAUCUCUUGGGAGUGGAAGGAACUUGUUAUUUUGAUUAUUUUUACCUCGUUGGGUUCUAUAAUUUUACAAAACUUUGGUGGGAAAUACCGGGGUGCGGUUUAGAUUGUCAAGAAACAGGAGGAGAAUGUCGAUUGAAGGGAAAUGAUAGUUUACAAGUCGAAUGUUUCAAUAAAUAUAUUCCUCCAAAAGGAAUUCCCCAGUAUGAAGGUACAUCUGCUUUUUAUUUAUUUAUUUUUAGCAUAUUGCUUUAUUGACUCUCGGUUAAUUGCUUGACUCUUGGUAUGGGGUGAGACUGUUGGAGCCAAAUUUCAACCACAAAGAUAGUGAUCACUAAUUUUAUUUUAGAUAUUAAUUAUUACAGCGUCUCGAAAGUAAUGUUUAAAAAUAGUUAAAUUUUAAAAAAUUUAUUUAAGUUUACGAGUCGUAUCGAUUUAAGUCAGAUUUGACAUAAACUGUGUCGUAAAAAAUUUAUUACAAUGAAUAAGAGGUUUAGAAUGAAAUAUCAAUCGUUGAGAUUAAUAAAAUCAUUUGUAAAAAAAAAUAAUUAUUAUAUAUUUUUAUUUUUAUUUUAAAAUAUUAAUAUAAAAUAAUAUUAUAUUCAUUUAAUAAUAAAAUAAUUAUUAAAUAAGUUGAUCAAGCUUUAUUUGACUUUUACAAAAGAAGACUCGAUCAAUCCAUAAACACAUCUAAUAAUGCCUUUUAUACUUUGUUCCCUUCGCUCUUACGGAAAUGUUAGAUUUCUAACUCCUUAUUGUUUGAUUUUUGCAGAGAAAUCCUUAGGGCAUAUCAUUAAAGGUAAGUCCAUAACUCGAGUACAUAUGUUCUUAUUGUAUUAAAUUGUCAUAUGCAAAUUACAUGAAACUUAUGAUCAGCAAUGAAUUGUCUGCAGGUGUAAGCAUCAGAAUUUCUAUUGGAGUUCUUACUCUAACGCUCAUGGUCACAUUAAUUAUCUUGUACUUGAGAUCAAGAAGAGCAGAGGUAGAGGAGAAUCGAAAGAAAAUUAAGAAAUUUUUGGAAGAUUUUAGGCCUCUCAAUCCAACAAGAUACUCAUUUGCAGAUCUUCGAAAGAUGACAAAUGAAUUCGAGAAGAAGCUAGGCCAGGGAGGCUAUGGAAGUGUAUUCAAGGGUGAGCUUGAAAAUGGAGUGCCGGUAGCUGUGAAAGUGCUCGACCACUCCAAAGGCAAUGGAGAAGAUUUCACUAAUGAAGUCAACACAAUUGGGAGGAUUCAUCAUAUCAAUGUGGUUCGAUUGUUGGGUUUUUGUGCAGAUGAAUCAGACCGAGCACUCGUCUACGAGUUCAUGCCAAAUAAGUCACUAGAUAAAUUCAUUUUUCCAGCGAAUUCAAGGAGGCCGAAGCUUAGUUGGGGAAAGCUUCAAGAUAUUGCCAUUGGUGUUGCCAGAGGAAUCGAGUAUCUUCACCAGGGAUGUGACCAAAGAAUCCUGCAUUUUGACAUCAAGCCACAAAAUAUCUUGUUAGACAUCGACUUCAAUCCUAAGAUAUCAGAUUUUGGCCUAGCAAAGCUUUUUCCGAAGAAGGAAAGUGUCGUAUCCAUAACUGCUGUCAGAGGAACCAUGGGUUACAUUGCACCAGAGGUCUACUUCUCCGGGAACAUUGGAAAUGUAUCAUAUAAAACAGAUGUUUACAGUUUCGGCAUGUUGUUAUUUGAAAUGGUUGGAGGUAGGAAAAACAAAGAUCUGACAGUGGAAAACACAAGCCAAGUUUACUUUCCUCAGUGGGUUUACGAUCGCGUCGCAAGUGGGGAGGAUUUGGGAAUUAAGGAGGACAAAGAUGGAGACGUUGACAUUGCGAAGAAGUUAUCAGUUGUGGCGAUUUGGUGCGUACAAUGGGAUCCGACUGAUCGUCCUCCGAUAAGCACUGUGAUUCAGAUGUUGGAAGGAAGAAAAGGAAGCUUACCCCUACCACCGGAUCCUUUUGCUUCCCUCAGCUCGGAAGAAAGUGACAUGAAUGUCCCAUAAGCAAGCCAUUCCUGGCCAGAAUGAACGUGCGCUUGUGCACUACUGACCUUAAGGACUCUUAUUUCGCACUAUUAUGAAAGAAUUGUGAACUAUAGUGAUAAUUUGUGUAAUAUGGUAGUAUUCUGUUAAUCAGUUUGAUACUUAAGCAUUGUCAUGUUAAAAUACUGUGACAGUUCCAAAUUGUUAAUCGCAGAAAUACAGCUUCUUUUCUUGGUUUGCAUCCUUCAUUCCUUCUGUAUCGUUUUGUUUUAAUUUUUUUCUUGAAAAAGCAAACUUUGGUGAUUUCAUUACUUUUUUGAUAUUAACAAAAAAGUACCCCUUUACGCUAGCAGUGCAGAACGGCCCAUGCAGAGUAAAAAAGCCACUACCAUGGCUUGGCUUGUUCUACGUAUAGGCAAACAAUACAAGAGAUCGGGUUGCCCAUGGGAUCAGCCACCAAACCCAGAAAACAUAAAACUCCCUUGUCCAACCCAAAAAAGGAGACCCCAGAAUUAGGACCCCUGUCUAUCUAUUAAACUUCUUUACAGAAACCCAAAACCAUGCUCUUAUCAAACUCCAACUGCAAAGCCAUAGAUUUUCCAUCUACCAUUAAUUUUAGUAGACAUAUAAUUUAGCUGUUAGUGGGAUCUUUUUUUGGGGUAAAAUCUGUGAAUCAUUUUUCCAUUUAUUGUUAAAAAAUCCCGUUUAAAUAAUUAAACCUUUGUAUUGUCAUAAACAUCAUAAAAUUCUUAAGAUCGAUUUUCGCUGCAUCUCAUCCUAAAAUAUAUUUCAAAAAUAAAAUAAAGUAAUCAUUCUUUAGUACAUGAGUUUUCCUUUUUUUUAGGUUUGCAUAUUAGUCCUGAAACAUGAUUGGGCCAGAGAAAGUAGACGACCUCAUGUAGUCAGGUAAUUCAGGCCCUUGUUGUUUUCCUGCUGGGCCGUAGCCUAAAUAUUCCGAAAACGUUAACACUGGCCCAAAACAAAAAACCUAAGACGUCAUUUUUUAUAAAUUUAGACAUGAAGUUUUCAAAUUGAAAAUUCCUAUAAAUUUAAAUGUUUUAGUGUGAAUUACUCCACUAAGAUUGUUCUGAUGAUUAUGCAAAAUCCGCUGCAGAUUUAGAUUGAAUUCUUUUAAUUAUUGCAUUGCAAUUUUUAUUGAUAAGCAUGAGCCAUGCAAUUUUCUGUGAGAUGUAGUAUUUUGAUGACAGGUAAUUAAUUCUUAAGAUUCAAGACAUUUUGGCACCCUGUUGUUUGCUAGAACUUGAUAAUUUGUGCUAAAUUUAAGUAAUUGGUGGAUGUUCAACUGUAAAUAUAUUCUUGCAGAUAUACAUCAUAAGAACAAAAUCAAGCACACACAUGGAAUUACAGAGCACUUUCAUCCAAGUGAUUCCUUAUUGUAAGAUUUCUGAAGACCCUCAGCUACGUUUCCUUUCUGGAGCUAAGGCAGGCUUGGGAGGCAUUUGCAAUGGCUCUGAAGUAUCUUCAAGCAUCUCCACCCCUUUGGUCAUGGAAGGACGAUCAGCAGGCUUCAGUUGUAUGCACCAGAGAGCAAUUAUGAUCAUCCUUUUGCCUAUAUCCUUUUCCUCAGCUGUCGCAUCCUUGAUUUCCACUUCACCCUUUUGUUCUAGUUGAUCAUAGAUCCAGGAUGGGAAGUAGAUUUGGCUUAAAUUCUCCACGAACGGAUUGAGAUUUUUUCUUCUCCCAGCCAUUUCCAUCAAUACCAUUCCAAAACUGUAAACGUCCGAUUUAGAGGAGAUGCCUCCAAUACUUUUAUACAGCAAUUCUGGAGCCAUGUAUCCCAUUGUUCCUCUAGCAUUUGUCAGAGAAACUACACUAUCGUUUCUUGGAUACAACUUGGCAAGGCCAAAAUCAGAAAUUUUUGGAGUGAAGUCUUCGUUAAGAAGGAUGUUGUGAGGCUUAAUAUCAAGGUGCAGAAUCCUCAUAUGACAACCUCGGUGUAGAUAUUCAAUCCCAUGAGCUAUAGCUAAAGCAAUCUCAUACAUUCUGCUCCAACUUAAAGUGGAGACGUCCUCUUGAGAGAACAGAUACUUGUCAAGAGAUCCAUUGGCCAUGUAUUCAUAUAUGAGAGCCCUUUUAUAUCCUUCAAAGCAGAAUCCAAGAAGUUGUACCACGUUUACAUGGCGGAUCAUCCCAAUUGUUGCCACUUCAUUCAUGAAAUCUCGCCCAUCGCCCUUGGCCUCUGCCAGCAUCUUUACUGCAACUAGACAACCAUUUGAUUGCUUUCCCUUAAAUACAGAGCCAAAGCCACCUUGACCCAGUUGUUCCUUGAAGCCAUCUGUCAUCUUGUUGAUGUCAUUGUACGAGAAUUUUCUGAGUUUGAGCUUUUCGUAGUUUUGCAGGAACUCUUCAACAUAUUUAUCAAUUGACGCUCUUCUCCACCAUUUAUAAACUAGACAGGGAAACAUGCAUAGGAUUCCAACGGCAGCUCUUAACAUGGUAAAACACCCUUCACACGGUAAAAAGCACAAAUGCAAAGCAAGUUCAUAAACAGUAAGACCAAAAAGAAAUACUACUAUACAUGAUAUUAUCUGCCAAAUGCUGUUUAUCAUUGGUAUCUAUCAAGGUCGAUCCUUUUUCCUUCUCAACUGUGCAAGAGGGUAAAAGGUGGAAGAUGGCACAUGAUAUCCACUUCUUUCACUUUCUAGAAACAGAUUGAGUUAUAUAAAAUGUCACGUUCGAACUGAUGAUACUCAUUUGGUUCAAAAAACAAAAACAUAUAACACAAAUUUUCUAGCGUGAAAUAUGUUGUAUGAAAAACUUACCAACAAUUUUCAGUACGAGUCCUAUGCAGCCUGUAAGACAGAGAAGGGGAACAGAUUAGUGUAAUGCUAAGAAAUAAGUGAUAAUGUUAAAUUUCAAUGAAACACCGGAUUCAUUCAUUUGUUCAAAUUUUGAGUCUAUGUUAUGUUAAAACGCAGAUCAGCAUGAUCUCAAUCAUGUUUAUGCAUAUUUACAUAGUCGAUGAAUUAUUAGUAAGUUUAUUUGGAGGAUUACCCUGUAUUGUGCUCCAUAAAUAUUGUCCAAAACCUGCAACAGCAACAGAUAAAUCAAUAUUUCAUAUUUGUAAAUGAGAAAAAGUGAAGUUAAAAGAAAGAGCAAACCAGUCAAAAGCAAUCUAAUGACACUUUUGGUGGUCAAGACUCAAUAGCCAAACAAAUGGAGCAUGCGAAGAAAAUCUUACUCAAUUGAUGCCUUAGCGGGUGUUUGUCGUAAUAUUUCAGUGUUUUAUAUCCUUAAAUACAUUUUCUCAGCAACCAAAAUAAAUCAUUAAGGAUUCUUACUCACAAUGAACAUUCGAGAAUUGUCCUCUGCAGCAGAUGCGCUUGAAUUCACCAGAAUCAUCUGAAUAAGGACAAUAUCCUCCAUUUACUGCACAAAUUAAACAAAAAGAUUGACUCCAUGAAAGCUCAUAUCCUAUGGUCAAUUUCUUGUGGAUAUCAGCAUACGUGUGAUUCCCAAUUGUUUGAAUCACAGCCGGAGUCAUUAAUACAUAUUCACAAAAGUUCAGGGAUGCUGCUUGCAGAUUUCCAAGAAAAACAUACUGAUGGUGAGCUUGUGGUAGAGAAGAAUUAGUAAUGCAAGGAGAUGGGUCCAGAUAUUCGGACGAAUUCAUUGUGGUUGAACAAUUAAGAAAAGUCAUGGUAUCCUCUGUUCCUGAGGACAACGAAUAUCGCUGAUAGUGGGGGAAGUUGGAGUUGAAGUAAAAAAAGGAGUCAUGACUAAGGUUGUUUGCUGUCCAGGCAUAAAGAGGAAGGGAGAAGCAGUCAUUUUUCUUUAGACCAGGAUCGACAGCGUGAAGGGUCUCCUUAUCGUAUGAGAUGGAUUCGACAUAAAAUCUUCCGUAAUCUAUUGUUAACACGGGGCGCUUAUGCUCACAAGCAAGUUCAUACAAGAAAUGUCCGCAAUUUGCAGGAUCAGUUCUUAACCGAAAGGGAUAUUGUAUUGAUAAAUAUCCGCAAUAAGAAGAACAAGAUGAUUCUUUCAUAGAAAUGCAGAUUGGAAGGAAAAACAAGGCUACUAGGAGGUUAAGAACUGCCAUGGCGAGAAGUCAAGCAAAUGGAGUGCUGAACUUACGUUGAAUAGUUUCUAAAUGCAAGAAUCAGGGUCCCCUUUAUUUAUUUAUUUAUUAUUUUAUUGGACACUAAUCAGUAAUCCCUUUCUUUGACCUCUUUUCUGGCCAAUAGUAACAUUACAUAAUCGACUUGCUGUUGUAGGUCAAUGAAGGUAUUUCAAUGAAGAUUUGUAUGAAGAUUCAUACGAAUUAAGAGGAAUCCUCCUUGAAAGGGCAAGGUGCCGGUCAAUACACGCUCCUCCUGCGAUUUUUCCACUAAUCAUUGUUUUUUUUUUUUAAAGAAAGAAAGAUCAGAAUAAAAGCUUUCUCACGGGGAGGUCUCUGAGCUGUUAGAUAACACUAAUAUAGUACAAACUCUGCCUUGUAUUCAGCAGCUCUGAUCUACAAAAAAAUGACUAUACAAAAUGUUAUAGACUUUCAAUUAAUUAUCUUUCUCUUAUAUUUAUGCCAUGGAGAAGCUGGGAAAUCAUGUCCAUAUGCAGCUUGCAGUGAGGAAGGUCCUUCCGUCCGUUUUCCUUUUUGGCUUAAAGAUCGACAGCCAGAGAGUUGUGGUUACCCAGGGUUUGCAUUAUCCUGCUCUAAGAGGAAUGAAACACUGAUUGAAAUUCCAUAUUCAGGGCAAUUUGUCGUGGCUGAUAUUGAUUACGAGUACCAAAAUAUUUACAUCAGUGACCCCAAGGGUUGCAUGGCGAGAAGGCUUAUGACCUUGAACGUCACAAGUAGUCCUUUCAUGAUUUCCGGGGCUCUUCAUUUCAUUCUGCUCAACUGCUCGUCAAUAACUGGAAGACCAGAACUACUACCGUUAGAUUGUCUCAGCAGUUCCAAUCAUCUUGUUUAUGCUGUCAAUGCUUCAACUUACAUGAGUCUAGAUCUUCUCUCUUCUUGCCACUUCACUGCCGAUGUUACCUCAUCUUUAAAUUUUUCUCACAAAGCUUUCAUGCCUUCGUUUUAUGAUUUGACACUUGGGUGGGAAAUUGCGGGGUGCGAUAUUGGUUGCCGAGUAAGAGGAGGAGAAUGUCGAUUGAAGGGCAAUAAUAGUUUAGAAGUCGAAUGUUCCAUUGAACAUCUUCCUGCAUACAAAAGUUCUCCAAGUGAAGGUACAUCUGCUUCUUCCUUUAUUUGCUCUCUCUUAAUUGCUCGACUAUUUGGGGAGCCAAAUUUCAACCAUGAGAUAUAUAGAUGAUGUUCAGUGCACACUUUAAAUAACACCACUAAUUUCAUUUUGGCUGCUAAUUAUAACGUCCUUAGUUGCUUCUAACAUAAGGUAAUGUCUAGAGGUAUUGGGAUACCCGUCCAUGCCUUAUAGUAUGUUCUCCUAACUUCUUACUACAUAAUUUACUAGCAGGAUAGUUUGCAUGAAAAAAAAAAAAAACAGAAAAGGAAAAAGAAAAAGAAAGAAAAAUUAUUUAUAUUAGUUGAAGUAUUUUUUUUAACUUUCUUCUCAUUUGCAGGAGGAUUGGAUUUUAAGAAAGAAAAUGAUUAAAUUCACCAAUUUCUUUUACUUUUAUUGUUUAUACUAAAUUAAAAAGAAAAAGUGUUCUCAUAUAUUAUUGUUUAUAGUCAUCUAUAUAGUAUUUUUAUCUCGACAAAAAAGAAAAAAACCAUUCUGGUUUUGUCCCUGCUUAAAGACAAAAUAUAGCUUUAAAAAAUAAAAAAAAGAAAACCAAGUGAACUAUAUGUAUAUAGAUUCCUUAGAUUUGGUCGAUAUGUUGAUUGUGCUUGGAUGAAUCAUCACCGGUUGGCUGUGGGUCAUGUUAAGAGUGGACCUGUGUGUCAUGUUAAUUGUGGAGUUUUUGCGUUUUGUCUUUCUUCAAUUGUACAGAUACUAGGAAUGAACUUUGUUGAGCAGAUGUGUUAUUUACCGGAGAAGAAUUGUGACCUGUUUGUUUUGUUAUGAAAAGGCAUAAAGGCUGUUUUUGUUGUUCAUUGCUUGCGAGGGUUUCUGGCAGGCAGUAGGGAGGUCUGUAUGGUCUUUUGUUAUAGGUUGUUGUGAUGAUUCAGGAUUGUUAUUCUCUAAUUUAGAGAGUAACAUAACUGAAUCUGCUUGUAGCCUGCUGCUGAGGGAACUUUUGGUUUCCGACUGUGUGAAGUUGAGAUCAUCAUGAAAACAAUUCCCGCAAACGAAAUUUCAUCCCUUUGCUAGAAUUGUUAAUUCAAUUUAAAACUUUUUAACUUUAAUUGUUCUAUAUUUCAACAAAGACAUGAAAAUGUAAGUUCUCUUACUCUUUAUCUUUUGUUUUUUGCAGCAUGGAAUAUGAUCAUAAGUAAGUCCAUACCCCAAUUACAUAUGCUCUUAUUUUAUUACAUUGUCAUAUCGAAACAUAUGAUCAGUUAAGAAUUAUGUGCAGGAGUAAGCAUCGGGAUUCUUAUUAUACCGCUCCCGGUCACAUUAACUAUCUUGUACUUGAUCAGAUCAAGAAGAUCACAGGCAGAUGUUCAAAAAAUGACAAAUGAAUUCAGGAAGAAGCUAGGCCAAGGAGGCUAUGGAAGCGUAUUCAAGGGUGAGCUUGAAAAUGGAGUGCCGGUAGCUGUGAAACUACUCGACAACUCCAAGGGCAAUGGAGAAGAUUUCACUAAUGAAAUAAGCAUAAUUGGGAGGAUUCAUCAUGUCAAUGUGGUUCGAUUGUUUGGUUAUUCUGCAGAUGAGUCUGAACAAGCUCUUGUCUACGAGUUCAUGCCAAACAAAUCGCUAGAUAAAUUCAUUUUUCCAGCGAAUUCAAAUAGACCGGAGCUGAGUUGGGGAAAGCUUCAACAGAUUGCCAUUGGUGUGGCCAAGGGAAUAGAGUAUCUUCACCAGGGAUGUAACCAAAGAAUCUUGCAUUUCGACAUCAAGCCACAAAAUAUCCUGUUAGACAUCGACUUCAAUCCUAAGAUAUCAGAUUUUGGCUUAGCAAAGCUUUUUCCGAAGAAAGAAAGUGUAGUGUCCAUAACUGCUGUGAGAGGAACCACGGGUUACAUUGCACCAGAGGUCUAUUUCUCUGGGAACAUUGGGAAUGUAUCAUAUAAAACAGAUGUUUACAGUUAUGGAAUGUUGUUAUUUGAAAUGGUUGGAAGUAAGAGAAACAAGGAUCUUACAGUGGGAAACACAAGCCAAGUUUACUUUCCUCAGUGGGUUUACAAUCGCCUCGCAAAUGGGGAGGAUUUGGGAAUUAAAGAGGAAAAAGAAGGAGAUGCUGACAUUGCGAAGAAGUUGUCAGUUGUGGCGAUUUGGUGUGUACAGUGGGAUCCGAGUAAUCGUCCUUCGAUGAGCACUGUAAUUCAGAUGUUGGAAGGAAGAACACGAAGCUUACCCCUGCCACCUGAUCCUUUUGCUUCCCUCAGCUUGGAAGAAAGUGACUUGAAUGUCCUAUAAGCAGGCCAAUCUUGGUCAGAAUGAACAUGCGCCCUUCUGCACUAGUGAAAAUAAGGACUCAUAUUUCAUAUUUCAGCAUAAAGAUUGUGAAAUAAUUGUGAAUUAUGAGUGGUAAGUUGUGUAAUAUGGUAGUAUUUUGUUACUCUAGUUGACACUUAAGCAAUGUCUUAUUAAGAUACUGAGACAGUUGCAUCUACCUGAAGUGAAGGAAUUUGAUUAAUGGCAUUUUCCCAUAAACAGGAAAAUAAUCAUACUUAUAUUCCUCAAAUAGUAUUAGCAAUGUCAGAAAAGUGUUCUGAGACGUGAUUGUGAACAAACAGGUGAUUUAGCAUCUGCAGGAAACAUCCCAUCAUGAAAAGAUGUGAAUGUGAUGAAUCAAAUUGCAAAUACUGACACUCAGAGAUAUCAGCAAGGAAUUUCAAUACCAGUGAUGCACUCACCUUCUAAAUUUCUAUAUCCCUUGAUGCUUGGUCCAAUAACGAUAUAAUUUGAUUAUUUAGAUAAAGAUAAUUUAUGCUCCCAGAGAAAAACAAGUUGGCAGCUAGUAAAAGCAUAUUGCAGAAUGAGGAGAGGGUGUCAAAUCCCCAACACACCAACAUCCAACAAGGUAAUGGAGAAUAGACCUCAGUUAUCCCCAAAAAAAGUAGAAUAAUCCUGGUAUCUAAAUAUUCAAAGCAUGCAUGCUACAACCUGGUAUACAGCAGGCAGGCUAAAGGAUGUUUGUUUUCGUGGCCAGUAGCUAAAGCUCAGCAUAGUUACCUUGCCUUUAAAUCAAGACAAAACGUCACCAGGAAACCCUGAGAAGAGCCUUAAAAAUGGACUAUGUGUUUCUAAAAAUAUUAAAUUUACUGCUUCAAAAAUAAAAAUUAAAUUUGCAGUUCUAUGAUCAUCAUGGCCAAUCACAAUUACCAGAGGGUCAGCAAAGAUUAGGACAAAGCCAUUACUAAAAAAGUUCACUUUUAAACAAGAAUAUUUCAGAAAGCACAAAACUUUGCAUCAAGUAUCCAAAUUUAGCUCAAAAGGAAUCUAAAGCUGCCUAAUUCCGAUAAUAACAUUCCACAAGCAAAGAACUUCAAUUAACAGGUUUACAAGACAACUCUUUAUCCAACAAUAAAAAUCAUAAUUACCAAACAAAAUGGGAGUAAAAGCAAAUGGGUAUACAUGAUUUUCGCUAAUGGGAUUGAAAAUAAAAAUUCAAAAAUCAGAGAGACCACUAGAAGCGAGGUGAGCGAUUGCCCUCUGGGAGUAAAAGCAAGGAAAGCAAGACCACUAGCAGAAGAAGAAGAAGAAGAAUAGGAAAGAGGAUAAAUUAUCUUAUAUAAAUUCUGGGUGGUGAGAAGAGACGGUUGAGGAGAAUUUGAGGUGGAGGCAAAGGAGGUAAGUAGUGAGAGAGAAGAGAAACGAAGCGAAUGAAUUGCCGAUGAUGAUGAUGAUAAUCGAAUAACAUCUGCCAUCAAGGGAUUGAGAGAGAAAAAAAAACAGAGCUUUGUGUUUUGAUUUUUAUAGUAUGUAAGUGAAUGUAUACUAUAUCUACAUAAAGAUCAAAAUUCAAAGAGCUCACGUGAAAAGGAGCAGACGAGCAACAGGGAAGAAGGGAAGGAGAUAGUUUUGGUUGAAGGACGCGAUUCCAAGGAAGAAGACGCGCCACGUAUGCACCUUCAUUUCUUACGUUGUUUUUCCGCUCCCCAAUACGCUGUCGUUUGAGGCUUCAAACUCUCUUCGCUCUUACUUUUGCCAGAGGUGUUCUUUCUUUGACAAUGAUUAUGAAACUGAAGCAGUUCAUCGAUAAGCAUAAGCCAUGCAAUUUUCUGUGAGAUGUAAUGAUUUUAUGACAGAUAAUUCUUAAUAUUCAUGACAUUUUGGCACCUUGUUUUUGCUAGGACUUGAUCAUAUUGUGCUAAAUUUAAGUACUUGGUGGUUGUUCAACUGUAAAUAUAUUCUUGCAGAUAUACAUCAUAAGAACAAGAACAAGCACACGCACAGAAUUAAAGAGCAUUUUCAUCAAAGAGAUUCCUUAUUGUAAGAUUUCUGCAGACCCUCAGCUACGUGUCCUUUCUGGAGCUAAAGCAGGCUUGGGAGGCAUUUGCAAUGGCUCUGAAGUAUCUUCAAGCAUCCCCACCACAUUGGUCAUUGAAGGACGAUCUGCAAGCUUCAGUUGUAUGCACCAGAGAGCAAUUAUGAUCAUCCUGUUGCCUACAUCUUUUUCCUCAGCUGUGGCAUCCUUGAUUUCCACUUCACCCUUUUGUUCUAGUUGAUCAUAAAUCCAUGAUGGGAAGUAGAUUUGGCUCAAAUUCUCCGCGAACGGAUUGAGAUUUUUUCUUCUCCCAGCCAUUUCCAUCAGCUCCAUUCCAAAACUGUAAACGUCCGAUUUAGAGGAGAUGCCUCCAAUAUUUUUAUACAGCAAUUCUGGAGCCAUGAAUCCCAUAGUUCCUCUAGCAUUUGUUAGAGAAACUACACUAUCAUUUCUAGGAUACAACUUGGCAAGGCCAAAAUCAGAAUUUUUGGAGUAAAGUCUUCAUUAAGAAGAAUGUUGUGAGGCUUAAUAUCAAGGUGAAGAAUCCUCAUGUGACAACUUCGGUGUAGAUAUUCAAUCCCAUGAGCUAUGGCUAAAGCAAUCUCAUACAUUCUGCUCCAACUUAAAGUGCAGACGUCGUCUUGAGAGAACAGAUGCUUAUCGAGAGAUCCAUUGGGCAUGUAUUCAUAAAUGAGAGCCUUUUUAGAUCCUUCAAAGCAGAAUCCAAGAAGUUGUACCACGUUUACAUGACGGAUCAUCCCAAUUGUUGCCACUUCAUUGAUGAAAUCUCGUCCAUCGCCCUUGGCCUCUGCCAGCAUCUUGACGGCAACCGGACAACCAUUUGAUAGCUUUCCCUUAAAUACAGAGCCAAAGCCACCUUGUCCCAGUUGUUUCUUGAAGCCAUCAGUCAUCUUCUUGAUGUCAGAGUAGGAGAAUUUUCUGAGUUUAAGGUUUUCAUAGUUUCGCAAGAACUCUUCAACAUAUUCAUCAAUUGAUGAGCUUUUCCGGCAUUCAUAAAUUAUAUAGACAGACAUGCAUAGGAUUCCAACGGCAGCUCUUUCCAAAGUAAUAUACGCUUCAUUGCAAACAAUACUAAGAACGAAUUGAACUUCAAAUCAUAUGUUGUUCGAAUUCUAAAAUCAUCACUUCUUUUGCAGAUGGAUAGUUUAAUGCGUUUUCAAUUUAUAUCUUUCAAUUUUUGUCAUUUUAUAUUUCAACAAAGGCAUGAAAAUAUAAAUUCUCUGACUCUUUAUCUUUUGAUUUUUGCAGAGAAACUGCUAAGGCAUAACAUCAAAAGUAAGUCCAUAACCUGAUUACAUAUGCUCUUCUUGUACUACAUUGUCAAAUACAAAUUAUAUCUAAACUUCAUCCCUCUACUAGAACUAUUAAUACCAAGAACAAAUUGAAUUUCAAAUAUAUGACCACUUGUUUUGCAAAUGAAUUGUUUAGCACGCUUCCAAUUUAUAAUUUAUAAUUUUAAUUUAUUCAUAUUUUAAUAAAGAUACGAAAAUGUAAAUUCUCUAACUCUUUAUUUUUUACUUUUUACAGAAAAAUUACUAGAGCAUAUCAUCAAAGGUAAGUCCAUAUUUCGAGUACAUAUGCUCUUAUUGUAUUAUAUUUUCGUAUACAAAUUAAUUACAUCGAAACCUAUGAUCAGCUAUGAAUUGUGUGCAAGAGUAAGCAUCGCAAUUUGUACCGGAAUUCUUAUGCCAGCGCUCAUGGUCACAUUAAUUAUCUUGUACUUGAGAUCAAGAAACGCAGAGGCAAAGGAGAAUCGGAAGAAAAUUAAGAAAUUUUUGGAAGAUUGUGAGUCUCUAAAUCCGACAAGAUACUCAGUUGUAGAUGUUCAAAAGAUGACAAAUGAAUUCAAGAAGAAGCUAGGCCAAGGGGGCUAUGGACGUGUAUUCAAAGGUGAGCUUGAAAAUGGAAUGCCGGUAGCUGUGAAAGUACUUGACAACUCCAGAGGCAAUGGAGAAGAUUUCACCAAUGAAGUCAGCACAAUUGGGAGGAUUUACCACCUCAAUGUCGUUCGGUUGUUUGGUUAUUGUGCAGAUGGGUCAAACCGAGCUCUUGUCUACGAGUUCAUGCCAAACAAGUCCCUAGAUAAAUUCAUUUUUCCAGUGAAUUCAAAUAGGCCGAAGCUUAGUUGGGGAAAGCUUCAACAUAUUGCCAUUGGUGUGGCCAAGGGAAUUGAGUAUCUUCACCAGGGAUGUGACCCAAGAAUCUUGCAUUUCGACAUCAAGCCACAAAAUAUCUUGUUAGACAUCGACUUCAAUACUAAGAUAUCAUAUUUUGGUUUAGCAAAGCUUUUUCCGAAGAAGGAAAGUGAUGUGUCCAUAACUGCUGUCAGAGGAACCAUGGGUUACAUUGCACCAGAGGUCUACUUCUCCGGGGACAUUGGAAAUGUAUCGUAUAAAACAGAUGUUUACAGUUUCGGUAUGUUGUUAUUUGAAAUGGUUGGAGGUAGGAAAAACAAGGAUCUGACAGUGGAAAACACAAGCCAAGUUUACUUUCCUCAGUGGGUUUACAAUCGCCUUGCAGAUGGGGAGGAUUUGGGAAUUAAAGAGGAGAAAGAUGGAGACGCUGACAUUGCAAAGAAGUUAUCAGUUGUGGCGAUCUGGUGCGUACAAUGGGAUCCAACUAAUCGACCUUCGAUAAGCACCGUAAUUCAGAUGUUGGAAGGAAGAACAGGAAGCUUCCCCCUGCCACUGGAUCCUUUUGCUUCCCUCGGCUCGAAAGAAAGUGACAUGAAUGUCCCAUAAGCUGGCCAAUCCUGGUCAGAACGAACGUGAAGGAUUGUGAAUUAUGACUGUUCCUUUCGUUUCAUUUUCUGCCUGCGUAUUAGUCUUCAAAUAUGAUUGGGCCAGAGAAACUAAACAACCACAUGUAGUCCAGUAAGUUCAGGCCCUUAUUGAUUACUUGCUGGGCCUUAGCCUAAAUAUCCCAAUAAAGUUAAUACUGGCCCAAAAGACAAACCUACAAGGUCAAUUUUUGUAAAUUUAGAGAUGAAGAAAUUUAAAUAUUUAAUUGUGUCUCUUUGAAGAUGGAAAAUUACUCCACUAAGAUUGUUCUGAUGAUUAUGCAAAAUUCGCUUCAGAUUUAGAUUGAAUUCUUUUAAUUGUUGCAUUGCAAUUUUUAUUGGUAAGCAUGAGCCAUGGAAUUUUUUGUGAGAUGUAGUAUUUUUAAUGACAGAUAAUUCUUAAUAUUCAAGACAUUUCGGAACCUUGUUGUUUUCUAGAACUUGGUAAUAUCGUGCUAAAUUUAAUUAAUUGGUGGUUGUUCAACUUUAAAUAUAUUCUUGCAGAUAUACAUCAUAAGAACAAAAGCAAGCGCACAGAUGAAAUUACAGAGCAUUUCCAUCAAAGUAAUUCCUUAUUGUAAGAUUUCUGCGGACCCUCAGCUACGUUUCCUUUCUGGAGCUAAAGCAGGCUUGGGAGGCAUUUGCAGUGGCUCUGAAGUAUUUUCAAGCAUCUCCACCACUUUGGUCAUGGAAGGACGAUCUGCAGGCUUCAGUUGUAUGCACCAGAGAGCAAUCAUGAUCAUCCUGUUGCCUAUGUCCUUUUCCUCAGCUGUCGCAUCCUUGAUUUCCACUUCACCCUUUUGUUCUAGUUGAUCAUAAAUCCAUGAUGGGAAGUAGAUUUGGCUCAAAUUCUCCACGAACGGAUUGAGAUUUUUUCUUCUCCCAGCCAUUUCCAUCAACAACAUUCCAAAACUGUAAACGUCCGAUUUAGAGGAGAUGCCUCCAAUAUUUUUAUACAGCAAUUCUGGAGCCAUGUAUCCCAUAGUUCCUCUAGCAUUUGUCAGAGAAACUACACUAUCAUUUCUUGGAUACAACUUGGCAAGGCCAAAAUCAGAAAUUUUUGGAGUAAAGUCUUCAUUAAGAAGAAUGUUGUGAGGUUUAAUAUCAAGGUGCAGAAUCCUCAUGUGACAACCUCGGUGUAGGUAUUCAAUCCCAUGAGCUAUGGCUAAAGCAAUCUCAUACAUUCUGCUCCAACUUAGAGUGCAGACGUCGUCUCGAGAGAACAGGUACUUGUCGAGAGAUCCAUUGGGCAUGUAUUCAUAUAUGAGAACCUUUUUAGAUCCUUCAAAGCAGAAUCCAAGAAGUUGUACCACGUUGACAUGACGGAUCAUCCCAAUUGUUCUCAAUUCAUUGAUGAAAUCUCGCCCAUC